CAUUUCACUGGAACGUAAUUGUUUUUGAACAUCCAAGAUGCCAAUAGAGACACGAACAUGUGGGAUACAAGCGCGAUGAUCAUACACAACGUCCGGAAGGGAAAUAAUUGACCCAACUCGGGGUCGUAAUAAGGAACAAAUGGAUGCCCAUCAUCAGUAGAACAAUUUAGUUUCAAUCACAGUACCUAAUAUCCGGAAAAUAAAUCCUGUCAACAUGCUGACGAUCGAUCCGUAAGAAUUGCAAUGUGCCUUCCAAUGAAUAAUCAGCAAAAGUUGUGGAAACAAAAGGACGUAAACCAAAUCAGCGCUCAACACGCUAUAGAGUUUACGGUAAGAGCCACCAGAGAAGCCAAAGCGGCCACCACGACAAUUGCCACCCAAAUUACGCGGACGACGUGACGCUCGGACACCUGUCAAGAGCAUUUUAAUUGUUAAGUGGAGGUGGGAAAAAAUAUGCAGAUUGGUAUCUAGCAGAUCCGUACCAAAGGGAAAAAAAUGGCUUGGUAAAUGUUACGGGCGAACAUGGAACUGGAAGACAGCAUGGAAGAAUCUGCCGAAGACAUGGCCGCAGCGGAAACAGCUCCGAGACCAACGUAUGACACCCACUGGAUCGAAAUAAAUUCAUGUUUGGUAAUUCAAGGAGAACGAAAUCAAAAAUAUUCAGAUAUCUUUACAGCAGGUGUAAGAUACUGCAGAACCAGGGGUAAUAUAAUUUUCCCAUUCUCCUCAGCAGUGACGUUUAUGCUUCCGUUCGUCGCAAUACUCCAAUCUAAAUGUUUCAGUUUUAAAAAAUGUUAAUAAUUGAAGAAUUUUAAUUAAUUUAAAUUCUCAUAAAAAUUAAAGACAGUAAAGGCAUAUUUUUCCGAAGAAAAUCCCAUUUCCCGAAAUUGAUUUGGUAACUUUCGGUGCAAAACGGAACUUUCCCGUCUUCUCUUUGAUCGUCACCCUAUAGAUUUUGUUGCGUCAUACAUAUGGCUCAAAGUCGGCCAACUUGUUGGGUGUAAUGUGACGUCAUAAAAACGGAUGCAAAUGAC